rnacentral:rRNA from 1 species
AGAGUUUGAUCCUGGCUCAGAAUCAACGCUGGCGGCGUGCCUAACACAUGCAAGUCGAACGAGAAAGUGGUAGCAAUACCAUGAGUAAAGUGGCGCACGGGUGAGUAACACGUGACUAACCUACCCUGGAGUGGGGGAUAACUGAGGGAAACCUUAGCUAAUACCGCAUAAUACCUACGGGUCAAAGGAGCAAUUCGCUUUGGGAGGGGGUCGCGGCCGAUUAGUUAGUUGGCGGGGUAAUGGCCCACCAAGACUGUGAUCGGUAUCCGGCCUGAGAGGGCGCACGGACACACUGGAACUGAAACACGGUCCAGACUCCUACGGGAGGCAGCAGUGGGGAAUUUUGCGCAAUGGGGGAAACCCUGACGCAGCAACGCCGCGUGGAGGAUGAAGUCCUUCGGGACGUAAACUCCUUUCGAUCGGGACGAUAAUGACGGUACCG